rnacentral:rRNA from 2 species
CGUCGUGAAGAGGGAAACAACCCAGACCGCCAGCUAAGGUCCCAAAGUCAUGGUUAAGUGGGAAACGAUGUGGGAAGGCCCAGACAGCCAGGAUGUUGGCUUAGAAGCAGCCAUCAUUUAAAGAAAGCGUAAUAGCUCACUGGUCGAGUCGGCCUGCGCGGAAGAUGUAACGGGGCUAAACCAUGCACCGAAGCUGCGGCAGCGACGCUUAUGCGUUGUUGGGUAGGGGAGCGUUCUGUAAGCCUGUGAAGGUGUGCUGUGAGGUAUGCUGGAGGUAUCAGAAGUGCGAAUGCUGACAUAAGUAACGAUAAAGCGGGUGAAAAGCCCGCUCGCCGGAAGACCAAGGGUUCCUGUCCAACGUUAAUCGGGGCAGGGUGAGUCGACCCCUAAGGCGAGGCCGAAAGGCGUAGUCGAUGGGAAACAGGUUAAUAUUCCUGUACUUGGUGUUACUGCGAAGGGGGGACGGAGAAGGCUAUGUUGGCCGGGCGACGGUUGUCCCGGUU